AAUGAACGUUGGCGGCGUGGAUUAGGCAUGCGAGUCGAGCGAGAACCGUAGCAAUACGGGGACAGCGGCGAAAGUGACAGUAACGGGUAGAUUAUCUGCCCUCAGGUUUGGGAUAGCUGCGGGAAACUGCAAGUAAUACCAAAUAAUAUAUCCGGAUCAAAGGUGUGAUUCCGCCUGAGGAUGAGUCUGCCUCCUAUUAGCUUGUUGGUGGGGUAACGGCCUACCAAGGCCUUGAUGGGUAGAGGGUGUGAGAGCACGACCCGCGUCAUUGGGACUGAAACACUGCCCAGACACCUACGGGUGGCUGCAGUCGAGAAUCUUCGGCAAUGGACGCAAGUCUGACCGAGCGACGCCGCGUGUGGGAUGAAGGCCUUCGGGUUGUAAACCACUGUCAGAGGGGAUGAAAUGCAGGUGGGUACUCCCAUUUGUUUGACAUAGCCUCAGAGGAAGUACGGGCUAAGUUCGUGCCAGCCGCCGCAGUAA
rnacentral:rRNA from 1 species